rnacentral:rRNA from 1 species
GAUGAACGCUGGCGGCGUGCUUAACACAUGCAAGUCGAACGGAAAGGCGCUGCUUUUGUGUGGUGCUAGAGUGGCAAACGUGUGUGUAACGUGUGAAUCACCCGCCCAUGAGUUUGGUAUAACGUCAAGAAACUGGUGCUAAUACCGUAUAGGAGCUGCUUCGGCUUGGUGGGGGUUGGAAAGUUUCGGCGGUUAGGGAUGGACUCGGGGGUUAUCAGCUUGUUGGGGGGGGAGUGGCUGACCAAGGGAUUGACGGGUAGCAGGCCGCAGAGGGUGACCGGGCACAGGACGACUGAGAGACGGCACAGAGUAGUAAGGGAGGCAGCAGUAGGGAAUAUUCCACAAUGGGGCGAAGCCUGAUGCAGCAACGCAGCGUGCGGGAUGACGGCCUUCUGGUUGUAAAGCGCUUUCGCUUGUAACUAAGCGUGAGUGAAGGUAAUGAGUAAAGAAGCACCGGCUAACUACGUG